CCCGGGUCUUGUACACACCGCCCGUCACAACCAUGGGGAGGCGGGGAUGUACCAGAAAGUAGGUAGGCUAACCGCAAGGGGGCCGCUUACCACGGUGCGUUUCGUGACUGGGGUGAAGUCGUAACAAGGUACCC
rnacentral:rRNA from 1 species